rnacentral:misc_RNA from 1 species
AAAAGGGAGGCUGCGCCAUGCAAAGCGUGUACGCACGCGCGCACACACACAGGCAUACACAACGCGAAGAGAAAAUAAACACAAGCGAGCUCAACGACUCCUUCAGCUAAACAUCACUAUACGCAUCUCGUGUUCUUCACAUGAGGUGAGGAGGGGCGCGCCGAAGUGUUGCACCACAUAUCGCCUUUUUCUUUCGCUCGCCCUUUCUCCCUCUCAAAAAGUAGAGAGGAGCUCGUGAAGAAGCGAGAGGCCUCCGCUUCCUUCGGUGCCACAGGUUUUUAUUCUCUCCUCGUCCCCCCCCCUGCACCCAACAACACGGAGGCAACGCGCACACGGCACUCCUCCCCGUCACCUACCACAUACAUACGCACAGGAUCUUUUCCUUUCUGUCGGCUGCGCCCCUUUCCAUUAAAAGCGCGUUUCCAUAGAAAUUUUUUUUUUGUGCAUGAAGCAAGCACCAUCUCCCCCAACAAAAGUGAGUAGUCGCGUAUCAUAGACACGCUCCGGGCUGCCUGCCGUGGCAGCACUUCGGCCCAGACACUCGCCAUUGGGCUGUGUCUGCAACAGAUUUCUCCACCGUCUUUCGCAUAUCACUCUCUCUCCUUGUCUUUCUAACCUCUACGCACACACACGCUGUCCGAGACGGUGUACCCGAGCGGCAGUGGCUUCCCGUCAGCUGAGCAGCGGCUCAGAUACGACAUUUACUUGAAGGCAAGCGUAACACUUCAAAGAGAGAAGGGAGGCCAGCACUGGCUGCAUGCCGCCGAAAGCAAGCAGUGGACGCCCCCGACCACUGCCACCGUCACUGUCGUCGUCUCUGUCUGCGUCUAUAGCGGCGGACGCACCACUCCCGCGAGAGCCCUUCUCCAUCGCGAGUUUCUUCGACGCUGCCAGCGCCCAUCGCAGCAGUGGCGGUGGUGGCUACCGCGUCGACUCUUUCUCGGAUGCACCACCGACGCCGCUCUCUGGCUUCCCGCGUGCGAGUCAUUCCCCUCCCGCUAGCGGGCACCGCACUGCUGCGACUCGCCAGGUGCAGCACCUCGAACAGCCACAGCGGCAACAGCAGCACUGGUCUUCCUCUACACCGGGGCAGUUGAGUUCUUCUCCCCAAAGCGGCGAUGGCGAACACUAUGAGCAGCAGCAGCAGCACAGCACCACGACCAGAGAUGUCUCCAGCACGCUGCAAGAGGUGCGAAGACGUAUCAUCAGCGACCUCGACGCGUCGCGAGAGGGAAGUCGCGAGUCAUCAGGGAAGCUGCACGCUCAUCGACAGCGCGCGCUGCGUGUGGCGUUCGGGGAGGAUGGGGCAUCGCGUCGGCGAGGGUCCCGUGCGUCUUGCGUGAUGACGAGUGAGGGGGGCGCAUCACCGACGGAUGCCAGGCGAUCUAAGUCGCAGCACACGCCUAACGCGGAGAAUGAUGAGGACGACGAGCUCAUGGUUGCCUCCGUAGAGUUUUCGCUGCUGUGCCCCUACUCUCGCCUCCCUAUGCGUUAUCCCGUGCGCAGCAAUGAGUGCAACCACCUGCAGUGCUGCGACUUGGACUCGUGGAUUGUGAUGCUGAACAAGUGUCGCUCCAUGCGUGAUCCGGUCGGGCCGUGCCCGGUGUGCGAGCGCCGCGUCACCUCCUCCUCGCUACAGGUGGACCUUUGGAUGAAGCAUGUCAUUGAUCAGAUGCCAGCGGGCACACAUAUGGUGGCGUUGGAGCCGGACGGCGCCUUCCGCAGUGGUGACACCACUCGAGAGCGGCGCAAAGAGCAGAUGAUUAUGGAGGUGGUGGACGCGACACAAGACGACUACGAGAACUACUUUGGGGAUGUGGUGGACGGCGACGAUGACGUUGUGGUGCAGAGGCAUCCUGUCACCACGUCUGAUGCUUCAACCGGCACAUCCGCCGCGCUUUUCCCGGUCGGCUCGCGUCGCCCUCGCAUGGAAUCGCCUGCGGCCCCCGAAGCGAGAUCUGGUGUGCCGAGCGCCGGCGGGGACCACCGAGCCGGCUCACCCCCACUGGCGCAGGUCAAAACAGAGAAGGCCGCCAUACUGGCCGCUGAGGCCGAGGCAGCAGCGGGGACGUCGCCUUCUGUCCCCACUUCUCAAGAGGAUGGGGGUGUCGUUGUCGUGCACUUUGUUGAGGGCCGACACGACGGGUUGCAGGCGCUGCCUAGUCAAAUCCGGCUGUGGGCGCUACACUGCACCCGAUGCGGGGCGCCGCGGGUGAAGGCGGAAGAUGGCUUGGUGCAAGGCUGUCAGCGAUGUGGGCACGACGCAAAGGGCGACUGGAACUUUGUCCGCCGCUUCGAGGCGUCGUCUAGUGUGUCGAUGGAGCUGGUUCCGGAUGGCACGCUGGUGCUGCAAGGCGUCGACAUCCUUGCGCCGUACCUAUAUCGCGCCGGCUUCUACCGCAGCCUGUUCGAAGUGAUGGAGUACGCCUCCGUGGCGGAGCGGCAGCAGCAGCAGUAUCGACCGCCAGCGGAUGUGUGGACUUCGUCGUUUCCGCUGAACCGCUUCGAGAUCGAUUUCCUCGAGGCCUGCUGUGCGCGCAUCGCGCAGGGCGAGACGCUCGACUCCAUUGAGUCGAUGAUUGUGCCGAGCCUGUUUCGCAUUCCUCGUCGGCGCCGACCAGGCGGCAGUGGCCAGACAUCCUUCACACAGAUGGGCCACGGCAGCGGCCGACACGGCGGGCUGGGCUUGGCGACCGCGUCGCAGGCUCACUGAAGUGCCUCACUCACCCAACCGGAGGGCUCGCGCUUGACGUCGCAAGCGCUGGGCGAUGGCGGGCUUAAUCGAUGCGUGCCGCACGUAACGCGGUCUCUUUUUCCUUUUCGACAACCUCUCUUUACGUCGAUGACGUGCGCAGGCGGAAGCGCUCUGCUUUGUGGCUCUGACAUCGUUUGCCUUGCUUUGGCGUGGCCUUAUCCACCUGUCUCUGUCUCUCCCUCACCGAUUCGUUUCGCCUCCGUCGGCUUGGCAGCAUCUACGCGACCGGCACUCGAACUCGAUACUUAAUACGUCGACGCCCCGCGGUGAGGGCAUCUCGCAGAGAGGCGCCAUUCCUUACUCCGUAGACAGCGGCACUCUUGACCCACCUCCUCCGUUGCCCGCUUUCUGUACGUUGUCUGUUUCUCCGUUCCGCGUGGCGUCUCUGCAAAGGCGAAAAAA